AGAGUUUGAUCCUGGCUCAGGACGAACGCCGGCGGCGUGCUUAACACAUGCAAGUCGAACGGUGAACCGGUUUCGGCCGGGGAUCAGUGGCGAACGGGUGAGUAACACGUGGGCAACCUGCCCUGCACUCUGGGAUAAGCCCGGGAAACUGGGUCUAAUACCGGAUACGACUUCCCACCGCAUGGUGGGGGGUGGAAAGUUCCGGCGGUGCAGGAUGGGCCCGCGGCCUAUCAGCUUGUUGGUGGGGUAAUGGCCUACCAAGGCGACGACGGGUAGCCGGCCUGAGAGGGCGACCGGCCACACUGGGACUGAGACACGGCCCAGACUCCUACGGGAGGCAGCAGUGGGGAAUAUUGCGCAAUGGGCGAAAGCCUGACGCAGCGACGCCGCGUGAGGGAUGACGGCCUUCGGGUUGUAAACCUCUUUCAGCAGGGAAGAAGCGCAAGUGACGGUACCUGCAGAAGAAGCACCGGCUAACUACGUGCCAGCAGCCGCGGUAAU
rnacentral:rRNA from 1 species